rnacentral:lncRNA from 1 species
UGUUGAGCAUUGGUCUGCAAUGCAACAAACUACCAGCAUCUUGAGCAGCAGCAGCAUGUCUGUUUGAAGAUUGAACCAGAAGCAACUUUUUUGUUUAAAUUUUGUAUUUUUGUGAUGUUAACAAGUUGGCAAGUAGCUUGAUAUCUAAAGCUAGUAUUUUUAGAUUUGAAAUUGAUGGAUGUAACAGCUGAAUUUUUCAGCUUUUCUUUUGUAAUAUUUUAGUUGGCAACUUGCCAAAUUUGGUAGGAGCAGUUACAGUUUAGGUAACUGACUUAUUAUUAUUUUUGUAACUCCUUUAUAUUUUGAAAUGGAAAUGAAAGCUGCGGGAUUUUGCUUCAUCGGUU